CAGUCGCCGCGGUAAUACCGGCAGCACGAGUGAUGACCGCUAUUAUUGGGCCUAAAGCGUCCGUAGCUGGCCACGCAAGUCCGUCGGGAAAUCCGCGCGCUUAACGCGCGGGCGUCCGGUGGAAACUGUGUGGCUUGGGACCGGAAGAUCCAGAGGGUACGUCCGGGGUAGGAGUGAAAUCCCGUAAUCCUGGACGGACCACCGGUGGCGAAAGCGCUCUGGAAAGACGGAUCCGACGGUGAGGGACGAAAGCUCGGGUCACGAACCGGAUUAGAUACCCCCGUAGUCCCUGUCUCUUAUA
rnacentral:rRNA from 1 species